rnacentral:lncRNA from 1 species
AUCAAAAGAAAUAUAUAGGUACAAACAUAAGUAGUCUUCCACGAUAGACAGGUUACUAUACAGUGCGUUAUAUUACCUCCACAAUAGACAGGUUACUAUACAGAACGUUAUAUUACAUCCACAAUAGACAGGUUACUAUACAGUGCGUUGUAUUACAUCCACAAUAGACAGGUUACUAUACAGAACGUUAUAUUACAUCCACA